UGGAUUUUGAAGGGCCAAGCUUGACAAUUUAUAACCUUUCGGUUAUGGAUUUGAUUAAUCUUGAGCCAAGACUAGCUGGGUGAUCAAUUAAACAAGGAACCUUCAAUGCCCAAAUUCAAAAGGAUUGGCAUAUGUGGAGUAAAUGGAAAACCAGGUUAAGAAGUUUGGAAAGAUUAACAAACUCUGAAACCUUUUACUUCCGGAAAAUUCUUGGCCAGUCACCCUCUUUAUAGAUCCAAAAUGCUUGUUGUCUACACCAAGUGCAUGUAUCAAUCAAUAGGUAAUCUGAAAUCAUAGUAAAUCUCAUUUAUCUCAUUUAUUUUUUUUUUCUAAUGAUGAUUUUGUGUAUGAAGUAAAGUCAUACGCUUCAAGGUAUAUUUUAAUUAUGUGAGACGUAUUAACUUCACAUGUAAA
rnacentral:misc_RNA from 1 species